rnacentral:rRNA from 1 species
CCUACGGGGGGCAGCAGUGGGGAAUAUUGCACAAUGUGGGAAACCCUGAUGCAGCGACGCCGCGUGAAGGAAGAAGUAUUUCGGUAUGUAAACUUCUAUCAGCAGGGAAGAAAGUGACGGUACCUGACUAAGAAGCCCCGGCUAACUACGUGCCAGCAGCCGCGGUAAUACGUAGGGGGCAAGCGUUAUCCGGAUUUACUGGGUGUAAAGGGAGCGUAGGCGGCGGUGCAAAUCAGACGUGAAAGCCCUGGGCUCAACUCCGGGACUGCUUUUGAAACUGUAUGGCUAGAUUGCAGGAGAGGCAAGUGGAAUGCCUAGUGUAGCGGUGAAAUGCGUAGAUAUUAGGAGGAACACCAGUGGCGAAGGCGGCUUGCUGGACUGUAAAUGACGCUGAGGCUCGAAAGCGUGGGGAGCAAACAGGAUUAGAUACCCGAGUAGUC